GACGAACGCUGGCGGCGUGCCUAAUACAUGCAAGUAGAACGCUGAAGGAGGAGCUUGCUCUUCUGGAUGAGUUGCGAACGGGUGAGUAACGCGUAGGUAACCUGCCUGGUAGCGGGGGAUAACUAUGGGAAACGAUAGCUAAUACCGCAUAACAGUAGAUGUUGCAUGACAUUUACUUAAAAGGUGCAAUUGCAUCACUACCAGAUGGACCUGCGUUGUAUUAGCUAGUUGGUGGGGUAACGGCUCACCAAGGCGACGAUACAUAGCCGACCUGAGAGGGGGAUCGGCCACACUGGGACUGAGACACGGCCCAGACUCCUACGGGAGGCAGCAGUAGGGAAUCUUCGGCAAUGGACGGAAGUCUGACCGAGCAACGCCGCGUGAGUGAAGAAGGUUUUCGGAUCGUAAAGCUCUGUUGUAAGAGAAGAACGAGUGUGAGAGUGGAAAGUUCACACUGUGACGGUAUCUUACCAGAAAGGGACGGCUAACUACGUG
rnacentral:rRNA from 1 species